rnacentral:lncRNA from 1 species
GCAGGAAGAGUGAUCUUAAUGUUUUUGGAUUCUUUUCAUGGUUCAACUCAACCCUAAUUCUUCCAAAACUUCAAGAUGCUAUAAAUAUAGCCGUAGCGACCACUUUUUUUAAGAGGAGAAAAAAGGGAAAUUUUGAUUCUAUAUUUCAUACAAUUCAAAGGAGAAAAAGGAAGAGUUCAACCGGACAAUAAAGAGGCAAGAAGCGAGCAAUCAUAAAAUAAUCAAGAACAAAAUUGCAAAGGAGAUUGAAAAUCUACCAAAAGUAGUUUUUCUAUACUCUUUUCUAAGUUGUUUAUUUGAAUUUGAUUAUUUCUAUGGCUUCUAUCAUGAGCUAAAUUAUUCUUCUAUAGUUUGAUUAGCCAAA